CUGACCUCAAUGGGAGAUGAUACAGUUAAUCCUGUAUCACCAUAAAGUUGUCAAGCAGAAAAUUUGGCUGCAGCUGGGAAAUCCAACAUGAUGUUACUCACAAGGCUAGCAGAUUAUGCUGGACAAAGAAAAAAGAAAAUACCAAGGAGAACAGGGAUUAAGAAGAAAUUAAGUCAUUCAUUUUCAACCUCUGUUGUCAUCUAAAGGGACACAAAAGGAGAAAUGGGAAGGAAAAGGUUAGUACAAAACUUCUUCAUCCAUCCCUUUGGCAUCAGCCCUGGGCAUCUUUAUUGUUUACUUAAC
rnacentral:lncRNA from 1 species